UUAUGGAUGCUUUUGUGGUAGGAGUAGUGAACAUACUUAAGAGCUGACUUUAAUAUCUUGAAUUGUACUAAUGCAUCUGGACAUUCAAUUGUCCAUUUAAGUUUUGCUGAAUUUUUAAGAAAUGAAGAUAGUGAUAGGUGAACUAAUUCUUAGAAGGAAACAAACCAUGUAAACCUUCCUGAAGGAAGGGGAACGGAUGAAAAUCACAUUGGAGGAAACUGUAUAUUGUUAUGUAUUGCUGUAGAACCAUAGUUCCAUAUAAUCCUCAAUCAAUUCUUCAAAAUUAUUGGCUUUAUCUGGUUGAAUCAUGUUCUUUCCUUCGGGUUUGAACUAAGCUCUAGUUUUCAGGCAUAUACGAGAAAUUUUGUAAUGCUUUCUCAAAAGCUGCGCAAGAUCUGCAAGUUGGUGAUGGGUUUGGUGAAGGUGUUGCUCAGGGUCCUUUGAUUAAUGAAGCUGCCGUGCAGAAGGUUGAGAAAUUUCUUCAAGAUGCCAUCACAAAGGGAGCAAAAGUUGUUCUUGGUGGUAAAAGACACAGCCUUGGGAUGACAUUUUUUGAACCUACAGUCAUUGCUGACGUGAAUAGUGAUAUGCUUUUAUUCAGGUAUUAAUGUUGCAUUUUACGUCCUUAAAGAAUUUUGAGCUGGCUAAUUAAGG